AGGAACAACCCCAGUGGUGGCAGCCAGCUCUGGAGCCUGGAUUCAGCUCCUGCAGCAACUACAGAGCUCUCCAUCUACAGGGCCUGGCGGCUCCGGGGUGGG
rfam:Canis lupus familiaris chromosome 3, whole genome shotgun sequence.